GCAUGCUCUGAAGGCUGGGCCAGAGGGGACCAACGGAAUAGAGGGUUGCACAAGAUGAUGAGACCGGGAGACACGGGCCAGGGGCUUCCUGAGCCUCCGUUUCCUUCCUCCUUGUCCCACGGUGGCCACGUCAUCUGGAGCUGCUCAUCCUCUGCCCUCACCUGCCCUCUUCCCUCCUGGGUGGCCUGCAAGUCCUCCCCCCUCACCAGAUGCUCCUCUAGGACAGUCUCUGGACCCCAACCCCCUUCAGUAGGCCGAAGCUUAGUGUUUCAAAACGCAUCGUACAGAGGAGAUUGGAAAGAUCAUUUAUGCUAAAAACAUGGCUGUCCUGUCUCUGAAGCUCGGGCAUCCCUCUCUUUAGCUGGAAGCUAGAAGAUUCAAUGCUGUGGCUGUGGUCAGUGGGCACACCCCUUUUCCUCUCUGGAAGUCUG